CAAUUUUGCGCCUGUCCCAAGUCAGGAGCCUCUGGCCUUUGUUAGUCUUGUAUGAUUUUAAAUUUUGGUUUCUUGUGUAUAAUUCGGAGUUUAGUAUGGCGUCCAUUGUCACUGUACUAUUAUGCAUAUUUUAGGGGCCGGCUGAGGGACACCUACGGGUGCGGGAAUUCUCGCUGCAUUGAAGACCCAUUGGUUGCCUUCGGCUGUUGUUUGCUCUAUGGUCGGGUGGUUGUCGCUUUGACAUAUUCACCAUUUCCUUUCUCAAUUUUAACU
rnacentral:lncRNA from 1 species